AGCAGCCGCGGUAAUUCCGGCUCCAAUAGCGUAUAUUAAAGUUGUUGCAGUUAAAAAGCUCGUAGUUGAAUUUCGGGAUCAGUUGGUCGGUCGUGCCUCGGUACGUACUGGUCAAAUUGAUUCCUACCUUCUGACGAACCACGAUGUCAUUAAUUUGGUGUCGCGGGAAAUCAGGACUGUUACUUUGAAAAAUUAGAGUGUUUAAAGCAGGCUCGCGCUUGAAUACAUUAGCAUGGAAUAAUGAAAUAGGACGUUUGAUUCUAUUUUGUUGGUUUCUAGGAUCGACGUAAUGAUUAAUAGGGAUAGUUGGGGGCAUUAGUAUUCAAUUGUCAGAGGUGAAAUUCUUGGAUUUAUUGAAGACUAACUACUGCGAAAGCAUUUGCCAAGGAUGUUUUCAUUAAUCAAGAACGAAAGUUAGGGGAUCGAAGACGAUCAGAUACCGUCGUAGUCUUAACCAUAAACUAUGCCGACUAGGGAUCGGAUGAUGUUAAUUUUUAAUGACUCAUUCGGCGCCUUACGG
rnacentral:rRNA from 1 species